AUGGACACGGGCGCAGAUCCUCCGCGCUACCGCCGGCUCAGGAAGGCCUCCGACCUCCGCACCGCCGCCGCCCACCCACCCCAGAAACGGAUCCGUCCGAGUGAGGAACAGGACAGUUGCUGUGAGGACAAGAUCAGCAGCUUACCGGACGAGAUGUUAAUCAUGAUCAUCGAUAAGCUAGAUGCACGGACGGCGAUAACCACCACUAUCCUUUCGAAGCGAUGGCGGGAUCUUCCUGCACACUCGCACACAUGUUAUGACCUUGGUGUUGAUGACAUCCUCCCUCCACGCUACCACAAACUGAAGCAAAUGGUGGUGGAGGCUAAGGCAGGGUAUGUGGCAGAGAAGAAUGCACUGAAGUUGGCCGGUAGUCAUGCUUUUAGAGACCGAUUCUUUGCCGUCAGUGACUGGAUGUGGAGAGUCCGACGGCUGACAACUCACCUGCAACGUUAUGAGCGUUGGGCCAUGCGACGCUAUGUUAAACGGGUGAACGCGUUCCUUCUUCCCCCCACCAAUGUUCAGCAACGGUCUAUCCAGAAGCUGAGGCUUCAAACCUUUGGGACGAGCAAUUGCAUUGAUCAGUGGAUUACGUCAGCGAUUGGCAAAUGGGGCGUUGAAGAUUUGGAGCUUGUCAUUGACAACUCUUCCUGGCGCUAUGACUUCCGGCUAUUGGAUGAAUGCAAGAAUGUGCGAUUGAAACGACUUGUGCUAUCCAAUUGUUAUCAUCAUGAUGCACCCAAGUCCUCGACAUUUCAGAGGCUCACAGCACUUACUCUGUGCAAAGAACAUAUUUCACACGUUUGUUAUAUUCUUAGAAACUGCGUGCAGCUGGUGGAUUUGAGCCUGAAACAUUCCGAUUAUAACCAAGAUCCUCUUCAUAUUCGUGUUCCUAAGUCAAAGUUAAAGAAUCUCCAAUUGGACAACUGCAACGUUGGGCAAGUCUAUCUGACUUCACUGCCUUGUCUUGAAGCAUUUGCUUGUCGCGGUCAGCCAAUCGAAUUACACUACGGCGAGGUCCCUCGACUUAGGCAUGUGAGUUUGAACUUCUUGCAAACGGGAGAUAAUGGCAAGGAUGGUUCCUUAUGUCGACUAGGCAAGUUGUUUUUAGGGAUUCCGCCACCACUAGAGUACCUUGCUCUGCAAUUAAGAGGGGGUCAGAUGUGGAUUAAACCUGUUGCCAUUCGCAGCCAGCUUAAUCAUCUCAAGAAACUAUUCAUUGCAAACCUGGCAAUGAACUGGGGUACAUUUUGGAUUCUCACCCUACUUGCUGCCGCACCUGCAUUGGAGUCGCUCCAUGUUCAUUUUGACUCAGAGAAGGCGAGUGCUUCAGGAUUACUAGAUGUGCAAGCGGAACACCAUCACCACCACUAUCACCUGAAAGAACUCAUGGUCGUUGGCUUCAACGGGGUGGCGUGGCAGACAGGCUUUGUGAAGGGGAUCAUGCAGGCAUCGCCGAUCCUGGAGCACGUCCACCUGCUGGACGGGCACGUCGUAGAGGAUGAAGAACAGGAACUCGUCGGCCUGGAGAUUGUCCGCCGCCGCCGGGAGUGGCACGAGUGCGAGAGAUUGGAGGUGCUCGACGAACUGACAGACGGGAGCAGUUCACUGCAUCCCAAAAUAGUUUUGGAAUGA
rnacentral:rRNA from 1 species